AUGCAAUGGACAAUGCUCAGUUGGGAAUGCCCAGCGUGGUCACAUCCGGUUUCAUUACACGGCAAGCUAUACGUGGUUGAUAUUCCAGAAAUCGAUGUGACGGGUGCACCAAUGAUUUUCGAGCUGGACGCAGCGUACCACCAUCGAGCCACACCAAAGCUGAUCUUCACAUGCCCCAGAGAGAAGCGCCUCUACUCGUGCUAUCUGGUAGAGCAUGGCUCGGAGAUCUUAGUGGUUUGCCAUGACGACGAUUUCCUAUCCCAUAUUACUGUCUAUAGACUUGCCGAUCUUGUCUUGGGGAAAUUUAUCCCGGUAACAGACAUCGGAGAAAACACUAUAUUCAUGGGACAAAGGAAUAUCUGUGUAUCUUCCAAGGCAUUUCCUACCGUCGAGGCCAAUACUAUUGUCUACUACCGUCCGAUCAAGAACCGUUUUGCACAGUACCAUAUCAGUAACCGCACCUGGUCACGGGCAUUAGAUCGGAGCAGCCUAAAUGGCCGUGCACAAGGCCCCCGUAGCCCUAUGUGUCAUAUCUUAACUUGCUGCUCUCCCGCGCAUUGGAACAAAGGACUAGAUUACCCAUCUACAGGUUGUAGACGACCAGAGUGGGAGGUGAAACAAGAGUUUCGAACUGGGGCAUAA
rnacentral:rRNA from 1 species